CCUACGGGAGGCAGCAGUCGGGAAUAUUGCGCAAUGGAGGAAACUCUGACGCAGUGAAGCCGCGUGAAGGAAGAAGGUUUUAGGAUUGUAAACUUAUUUAGACAGGGAAGUAAAAAGACAGUCCCGGUAGUAUAUGAUACGACUAAAUACGUGCCAGCAGCCGCGGUAAUACGUAGGGUUCAAGAGUUAUACGGAUUUAUUGGGUUUAAAGGGAGCGUAGGAGGGUUGUUAAGUCAGUUGUGAAAGUUUGCGGCUCAACCGUAAAAUUGCAAUUGAUACUGGCAGUCUUGAGUACAGUUGAGGUAGGCGGAAUUCGUGGUGUAGCGGUGAAAUGCUUAGAUAUCACGAAGAACUCCGAUUGCGAAGGCAGCUUACUAAACUGCCACUGACAUUGAUGCUCGAAAGUGUGGGUAUCAAACAGGAGUAGAUACCCCUGUAGUC
rnacentral:rRNA from 1 species